GAUUACCAGCAGUUCGCUGUUGGUGAUGAUGAUCGUAAUUCGGACGAUUGAGGACGCGCACGGACCGGGGAGCGUUACCCCGCACCUCCACCAUUGCUGCUGAGCGCGAGGCUCAGAACUUCGGAGACACGGCGGUAUCCAACCCGCAGGGCCUCAGUAGCAUUGAUGGGGGUGAAGUAGGAUCGACGUGCAAGGCUGAGAGAAGGACGCGAUCGGUUUGGGUGCUGCCCCUUAUGCGGUGCCAAGGCUUUAACUGCCAACGACAAUGAUGUUGUCACUGCGGAAGUGCGCCUCGCGGCGUAACCCGAGAAAUUCCUGAGCCUUCAACAAGCUCAGGUGCGGACUGGCCCACCGAGCAACAGGACGGGCCACAUUUGAGGCAGGGGCCGAUCAC
rnacentral:tmRNA from 1 species